UGCGGCAUGCCUAACACAUGCAAGUCGAACGAGACCUUCGGGUCUAGUGGCGCACGGUGCGUAACGCGUGGGAAUCUGCCUUAGGUUCGGAAUAACUUCGGGAAACUGAAAGCUAAUACCGGAUGAUGACGUAAGUCCAAAGAUUUAUCGCCUAAGGAUGAGCCGCGUUGGAUUAGCUAGUUGGUGAGGUAAAGGCUCACCAAGGCGACGAUCCAUAGCUGGUCUGAGAGGAUGAUCAGCCACACUGGGACUGAGACACGGCCCAGACUCCUACGGGAGGCAGCAGUGGGGAAUAUUGGACAAUGGGCGAAAGCCUGAUCCAGCAAUGCCGCGUGAGUGAUGAAGGCCUUAGGGUUGUAAAGCUCUUUUACCCGAGAUGAUAAUGACAGUAUCGGGAGAAUAAGCUCCGGCUAACUCCGUG
rnacentral:rRNA from 1 species